rnacentral:rRNA from 1 species
AACGAACGCUGGCGGCAUGCCUAACACAUGCAAGUCGAACGAUGCCUCCGGGCAUAGUGGCGCACGGGUGCGUAACGCGUGGGAAUCUGCCCUUGGGUUCGGAAUAACUCGCCGAAAGGCGAGCUAAUACCGGAUGAUGACGUAAGUCCCAAGAUUUAGCGCCCAAGGAUGGGCCCGCGUAGGAUUAGCUAGUUGGUGGGGUAAAGGCGCCUCAAGGCGACGAUCCUUAGCUGGUCUGAGAGGAUGAUCAGCCACACUGGGACUGGGCCACGGCCCAGACUACUACGGGAGGCAGCAGUGGGGAAUAUUGGACAGUGGGCGGAAGCCUGAUCCACCACUGCCGCGUGAAUGAUGAAGGCCGUAGGGUUGUAAAGCUCUUUUACCCGGGAUGGUAAUGACGGUACCGGGAGAAUAAGCACCGGCUAACUCCGUG